rnacentral:rRNA from 1 species
AAUAACCCUGGGAAACUAGGGCUAAUACCGGAUACGCCCCUUGGGGGAAAGGUUUACUGCCGAAGGAUCGGCCCGCGUCUGAUUAGCUAGUUGGUGAGGUAACGGCUCACCAAGGCGACGAUCAGUAGCUGGUCUGAGAGGAUGAUCAGCCACACUGGGACUGAGACACGGCCCAGACUCCUACGGGAGGCAGCAGUGGGGAAUAUUGGACAAUGGGCGCAAGCCUGAUCCAGCCAUGCCGCGUGAGUGAUGACGGCCUUAGGGUUGUAAAGCUCUUUUGUCCGGGACGAUAAUGACGGUACCGGAAGAAUAAGCCCCGGCUAACUUCGUGCCAGCAGCCGCGGUAAUACGAAGGGGGCUAGCGUUGCUCGGAAUCACUGGGCGUAAAGGGCGCGUAGGCGGCUUGCCAAGUCGGGGGUGAAAGCCCGUGGCUCAACCACGGAAUGGCCUUCGAUACUGGCAGGCUUGAGACCGGAAGAGGACAGCGGAACUGCGAGUGUAGAGGUGAAAUUCGUAGAUAUUCGCAAGAACACCAGUGGCGAAGGCGGCUGUGCUGGUNCCGGUUACUGACGCUGAGGCGC